UACGAAGGGUGCAAGCGUUACUCGGAAUUACUGGGCGUAAAGCGUGCGUAGGCGGUUUGUUAAGUCUGUCGUGAAAGCCCUGGGCUCAACCUGGGAAUGGCGAUGGAAACUAGCGAGCUAGAGUGUGACAGAGGGGGGUGGAAUUCCACGUGUAGCAGUGAAAUGCGUAGAGAUGUGGAGGAACACCGAUGGCGAAGGCGGCAUCCUGGACCGGCAUUGACGCUGAGGCGCGAAAGCUAGGGGAGCAAACGGG
rnacentral:rRNA from 1 species